rnacentral:SRP_RNA from 2 species
GCUGGGUGUGGUGGUGUGCGCCUGUAAUCCCAGCUACUUGGGAGGCUGAGGCAGGAGAAUUGCUUGAACCCAGGAGGCAGAGGUUGCAGUGAGCUGAGAUCAUGCCACUGCACUCCAGCCUGGGCCACAGAGCAAGACUUUGUCUCAA